GAGAGAGCAUUCCGUCGACAAUCAGUUAGAUAAUCAUUGUCAUGGAGUCGCUCUCGCAU
rnacentral:pre_miRNA from 1 species